rnacentral:piRNA from 1 species
UCCCAAGGCCAAAGUCACUUUAGUUGUAUGU